UCAGUGCACGAAUCAUGCAUCCUGGUAGGGUGCGGCGAAGGACCAUAUUCUAGAGAGCCAUGAUGUAAAUAAUCUACUCUGACGCAAGUAUCAAAAACUAAUUCUACGGUUCAAACCCGUAACUUAUAAAUUACGUGAAAACAACUUUAUUGAUAUUCCAAAACUCCCACUUACUAAUUAAAAAAAUAUGUCAUAUAAAUUGAAAUAGAGCAGAGUAAAAGAAACAACGUACAGUUUGAGAAAUCGGAGAAACAGUCACAGAGUCCAGUGGACCAAGUUCCGGGAUGAUUAGCUUGAAACUGGCCCGGAACAGGGAUGCCGGUCAUCGGUUUUUCACCGUAAACUGGAGCUGAGGGAUUCAUAACUUGAAAACUUGAGUUUUUUUUAAUAAAAUA